UUCACUCUCGAGAUGUUGCAUAUCAUCGACUUACCGCCUGACGAGAGAAUGAAUUUCAAGAAAGAUAUAGAAAGCUGCGCGAAGGUAUACCGCCACACAGUCAACAAGCACAGCAGAAGAGAACAUUUAGUUGCCAACAGACAAUAGUUCGUGUAACAACUCAUUAAAUCCUUGAAAAUGGUAGACGGAGUCUACCGAAAUAUUGGAGAAAAAUAAAAGAAAAAAACCUUAAA